rnacentral:rRNA from 1 species
CCUACGGGUGGCAGCAGUGAGGAAUAUUGGUCAAUGGACGGAAGUCUGAACCAGCCAUGCCGCGUGCAGGAUGACGGCCCUAUGAGUUGUAAACUGCUUUUGUACGAGAAUAAUAGUUCUUACGUGUAGGGACUUGAAUGUAUCGUACGAAUAAGGAUUGGCUAACUCCGUGCCAGCCGCCGCGGUAAUACGGAGGCAUCGAGCGUUAUCCGGAUUUAUUGGGUGUAAAGGGUGCGUAGGCUGUCGGAUAAGUUCGAGGGCAAAUGUCGGGGCUUAACCCCGUGCCUGCCUCUGAUACUGGUCGACUAGAGAGCGGAUGCAGCAGGCGGAAUGAGUAGUGUAGCGGUGAAAUGCAUAUAUAUUACUCAGAACACCGAUUGCGCAGGCAGCUUGCUAAUCCGCAACUGACGCUGAUGCACGAAAGCGUGGGUAGCGAACAGGAUUAGAUACCCCUGUAGUC